AUACAUAUAUAUAUACUUAUACAUUUUAAUUAUUUGUAUUCUUACACAGUUUCAAGAAUAAGAUUUACCAGGCACAUACAACCUUCUUUAAAACUCACAGCACUUUUUAAAAUUAACAUUUGACUGAUUAUGUUCAUAACUGAGUAUUUUUACAACACAACUACCCAGCACUCAAAUAAGUGAAUGGAAGCUGAUGCUACUAAAAAUCAGUAACAUAGUGAACAAUGGCCUGGAGAAGCAAAAGCCAAACCACCAAUAUAAAAAUUACUCUUAGCUUGAUUAAUUAACUAGCCCAAAACCGUCUCAUAGUGAUGAAGGAAAUCCAUAAGCUACUAAAGGCUCUACCUUCUCCCAUUAGUGAAAAUAACGAUGUCAUCGGCAGAACUCAAAUGGGAGACAUGAACAAGCGCAACCAGAACUUCUUCAUAAUGGCUCCGUUCUAUGCCUCGUUUUAUAGGAAACCUCAAAGUGACUCUAUUUCAUUAUAUUCCAUCCAUAUCACAAUUCCAUUCAUUUAAUAUCUCUUUGGUGUCAUUGAUAUAAGAAUUGACAUAAGAGAUGUCGUUUAUCUCAUCAAAGGAUAUUGAGAAUACAAAUGAUUCAAUAGUCACUCUACCGAAGACUAUUAGAGCUAGUUAAAUAAUCCAACCCCAAUUCGAAAAAAAUCAAGCUCGGAUUAGAUCGAAUUACUAACACAAUCCGAUUGGAUGAACAUUAACCAACCCGAUCAAAUUGUGAUCCGAUCCGAUCCGAUCCAAAAAUCUGAUCAAAUUUGGCUUAAAAAAAUAAUGAAAAUCAAAAGUAAAAACUCGUAAGUCCUAAAUCCAGUAAGCUGUUACACACACACACAAUCUCAUAUCCAUAAUUCCACUGCAGCCACAACUCAAACCCAAUCAAAAAAUCCGAUCGGAUUUGGCUUUAAAAAAAUCAUGAAAUUCAAAAGUAAAAACUCCUAAGUCCUAACUCCUGUAAGCUGUAACACAUGCACACACAAAAUUCAUUUCCACAAUUCCAAUCCAACCACAACUCACACGUAUCACACACACUCUCAAAUCUCAUUCACACUCUCAUUCUCUAGUCUUUGCUUCACCAUCUUGGCAAUCGACAUCGCAAAUCUCCAUUCUCUUGUCUUCACUCUUCAAAAGUCAAAAUCACAACCUUAGGCAAAAGCAAACUGAUGUAGCACAGAGCACACCACCAGUCCACCCCUCCACCGAUGCAGCACACCAUGCUCACAAUCACAGCCGAUUUUCCUACCCGAUCUGACAUUCCGAUCAUCAUUUGCAAACACACCACUAAUCUACUACUCCACGCAUCGACCAUCACGAUUCACCAGGUUCCUCCAAGCUACAAUCAAGUCUCCAACCCGGCAACCCGAACCCAAAUUUGUGUUUUGACUUUUGAAAUUUUGAUGGUAAUUUAAUAAUUUUAAUGUAAAUUCCAUUAGAUUAGGGAAUAAUUCUAAUAUAAAUUACUAUAUUUUAUUUAUUAUCACAUAUAUUUUUUUUAAUGCUAUUAUCACAUAUAUAUUUUACUAAUCCAAACCGUUUCUAAUUUGAAUAUGAUUCUAUCUAAACUCAACCCGAUUUUUCAACCCAAUCCGAUCGAUCCAAAUGUAUUUUUUCUAAAUACGGGGUGAGUUCGGAUGAAAUUUUUUCUCUCGAUCAACUUAAAAUCCGAUUGAGUUUAUCUUAACCGGAUUUGAACUUGAUUUGCUACCCCUAAAGACUAUCCUAAGAUUGAAAAAACUCGUGGCUAAUCUCAUUCAUUGUCACUUAGAACCAAGGCCUAAAAAUAGCUUUUUGAAUCAAAGACACCCACACUCAAUGAACCCAAAACACCUCAGUAUCUUCAUAAUAAAAGACUAAGACAUCUGAUCAUAUGUCUUGACUAUGUCUAGCUUUAGCACCACAUUCCUUCAUCGAGAUCGAUGGUUCAAGUUAUGCACCAUCUCCUGAAGCAAAAGAACAUCAUCAUUAAUGGUCCCAGGAACAAGCCCACUCUAAGAAAGAAAAAUAAGACAAGAUAGUAUAGGAGACAAGAUAAGCAACUUGGUUAGAACCUCAUUGCUUAUAUUGCAAAGACUAAUGGGCCAAAAAUCAACUCAAGUAAUAGGGAGGGUCUUCUUAGGGAAAAUAGCCAAUAAGGUACUUAAAAAGGCUUUGAGCGGUAGAAUCUUUGAAAUAGUCAAUAAUAGCAGCCAAUAAAUCACCAUAGGUGAUAGGGCCCGAGCACUAUUUGGUUCAAUAGAGAAAAACCACCUACUUAACUUCAUCCAUAUCAACCUCCCUACAUAAGUCAACAUUAUCAUUCGCAAUAAUCAAAGCUAGAUAAAAUAAAAAAUUAGAUUGCUAAAACUAACUAACUCUACCUGCCAAUAACCCUUAAAAGAAAUCAAUAGUAGAAGCAACAACAUUAGAAGGUGUAGAAAUCCACUCAAAAAGAUUCAUCUUGAACUCUAUGGAUAAGAAAAGCUAGCGCUUCUUUUGAAUCUUGGUAUAAAAAUGUUGGAUAUUAGUGCCCCCUUCCUGGACCUAAAGAAUACUAGACUGUUGUCAUAGAAAAAUCUUUUCACAAAUCAAAGCGUGUUGCAAUCGAGCCAUAGCCUCCAAAAAACUGUCAUAUCCUCAGCAUAGCUAGAAAUAUCAUAUUCCGUCUCAUUCUAAGCCACAUCCUCUUCAGUCUCCUUAGCCCGCUGAAAGACAUUGUCAAACACGCUCUUAUUCUAAGAUUUUAAACAAAGCUUCAAUCGGAUAAGCUCUUGCUGAAAAGCCUUUAUCACAGAACCAAAACUAGAGUAGACCAGGACUGCCGCACAACAUCAAUAAAAUUAGGAUGCUUAAGCCAAGCAUGUAGAAAAUUAAACUUGGAACGCCAUUUAGCCGAGUCUUUGUGACAAGAUAAAAGCAUAGGAGAACGAUCCGAAGUGGUGCGAGUGAUGUGAACAACCCCAAAAAAAAAAAAAAAGACCACUGUGAAUUACACAUCAUCCUAUCAAGGCAUCUCCAAGUAUGGCCAUGAGUUCAAGUGAAAGGACUACAACAAAACCAACAUCCUUCAAUCCAUAGUUUAAUAAUAUUAAAUUAAAAGCAUCAACAGCACCUUGAGGCUAAGUAUGCCCAUUAGAAAUAUGAGAAAGGGACUGUGCUACAUUGAAAUCCCUUCACACAAUCCAACGUUCAGCAAAAGUCACUAGGGCAUCCUACAAAUCCUCUCGCAUAGGAAUAAAGCAACUAUCAUAAAUAUAAAAUAUAAGAACAAGAUCAGGGAAAAAAGAAUGGCUAACCCAGUAAUGGAAUGCUUGACCCACGUCCUAAAUAUAACUCCACAGAAAAUGGCAAAAUUAAUAUUAAUGUAAAUAAUACUAUCAUAUA
rnacentral:lncRNA from 1 species